AAAACAACAUUUGCACUAAAAGGCAUUUCUAACACAAUGUUGAUGUCUUCUAGAAGCACAAUCCAUAGGUCUGGAGCCUGGGUAUCCUGGUCUAUCUCCCCAGCAGAGGGCAGCACAAAGUCUACCUUCUUCAUCUUCCAUAUUAAUCUGCAAAUCCCUCUCUACGUUGUUAUCCUUUCUGGGGUCGGACUCAGGGAAAACACCAUCAUCUUCAUCUUCAUCAGUGUCCUCUUCACUCCACUGGACCCUAGCUGCGGUGUCUCGGGCCCUCUGCUUCAGAGCUGCUCUUGCAGUAAGCAAAAACUUUUCCUCCUUAUCCCUGGAGAUGAGAGAUGGCUCCACAGUCAUCCACCAUACCUUCAGAGCCUCAAAGACGCCCCUGGGUCAGCACACCAUCUUCCCCAGUCUUCCUCCUCGUCCCCAUCACUGUUCUGAAUUGGUGCUGGACACUUCUUACCUCGAGCCUGAGCAGCUACUGUGAAUAACUCUUCAAGCAAUGUUUUGACCCCAGGAGACUUAUUUGGUUUAGAGACUUCACGAGACCCUGCCCUCUUCUUGGCUGCUCUGUUUCAGGCACUACUUCACAGCCUUUUGAAAUUCUCAUCACUAGCUGCAGGCAAAAAUCUGAGCAGUUUGGUCUCUUCACCUUUCUGGUUUUGGGCCUUUUGGCCUGACCCAUGUGUCUCCUUCUUCCUAGGAUUUAACUUGUGCCCAGUGUUAACUGAAGGCUCAGCUUGCCUGGACCUGGUUGAGGCAGACCCAGUACCUCCAGCCAAGGCCUGUGCCACGUGGUCUUGAGGAAGAGCUGGGAUUACAUUCUUUAGUAUUAUAAUCAGCGCCCUUGAGACAAAUUUAAGCUGGUCUUAUUAUUUUAAGGAAAACUACAUAGGACAUAUGUUCUCUGUGGAAGUGAUAUUAUGUCAGUCACAUAUGAUAAGUGCCAAACAAUCAAAGUCACAGUUUCCAGUGAUAGGGCUCACUUUAAAGCUAAAGGUUGACAUGAAAAAUAUACAAGGAAAACACCAAUGUUGUUAAUCUGGAGUGCCUCACUUACUUAUUUUUAUUAAACUUAGGAGUAGCAUAUGAAUAGGUUGUGUGUUGAAGCAUGACACUUCUGUGGUCCUUUUCAACAAUUCUGAUGGAAUGUGUCUCUAUGAACGCUUUCAAAUCCCAUCUAGCUCAUCAUUUAAUCAUCUAUAUGUUGUUGAAAAAGUACAAGGUUGUCAUGACAACUAGAGAGAUAAUUUAGUCAACAUAACUCAUUCCACAUAACAUAACACUUUGCCUUUGUUCAAAUAUAUUUCUAUAAAUAUUCAUAUUCAGCAUUUUAAUAGUAUGCUUUAUAUUAGAAUGUGUGGACCCCAGAAUUAAAUAAGACCUCUCAGUUCCUGACACUAUUGUCAUGUGCCAUUAUUCUUCUCUAGCUGAAGUCACAACCUUGGUCAUUGAAGGUAUUAUCCAUACCCCCCAGGCUUAAAUUAAGCUCUUGGGGAAUUCUUUCCUGACAUAGAGUUUGGUGAGCAUAAAAAUUAGGUUAAUCCUACAAAAAAAAAAAAGGGUUCAGAGGAAAGAAUUCAACAUCAAAGUGGAGCACAUCAUUCAAUUUACAAGACCUAUAGUGGGCAGACAUUGGAACUGGAAAAAGGGAUGAAAGUCAGGAAUACUUUGCGGGAGUAAGGAGGAUCAUAGCUAGUAUCUAGUUAUGAAACUAUUAACACACUGGAAAUUAUUUCUUUAUAAUUUUUACUUCUUUCCUAGUGAGAAAAAUAAGAUGUUCAUUCAUAUGAAUAAAUAUGUAACUAUAUCAAUAAAGUCAUAAGCAUUUUGGAAAAUUUUAUAUUGUUAAAUUAUUUGAAUAACAGAAGUAAAAGAACACCUAAAUUAAGACUAAAUAUAAUUUAUAACAUCAUUUUUUUCUUCAUUCAGUGAUUCAAUGCUUUGUGAAACAGGAAGUGUAAACAUACUCACACACAUUUCAGUGUUCCUUAGACAAAAGGUUAGAAUUUGGGUUAUGUGGGAAAAAUAAAAAAAAAAAAAAAAAAAAAAACAAGAAACAAAAACCUCCUCUCCUAAAAUUAUGUUGAAUGAUUUAUAAAAUCCUAAGAAGAGUAUGUUUUUCACUACCUAAGAAAACUUUAAAAUACUUCCAUCGUACUUCUUGACCUACCUAUUCUGGACUGCAGAAAAUAAGCACAAUCUCAACGUGAUUGAAGACUUGAGAGACUUGGGGCCUAGGGAGUGUGGAAGUCUGGUGGGAAUGACAGUGACAUCCUCUUGGAGCCAGAAGAAUGAAUGGGAUGAAGAAUUGUGGGAGGGCAGACCGGGAAGGGGGUAAUGACUGGACUGUAAGAAAAUUAAAAGGAAUAAAAAUAAGCACAUUCUGUGCAUUAGUAUCUAUAUAUAAAAGAAUAAGAUUUAUGGAAUAUUUUAAGAUUGGAGCAUAAUUUAAAUGCUUUUGGAAAAGUGUUGUUUACCUGACUUCUUUCUCAGUCUGUUUGUUUGUCAUUUGUAACUUUUGUGAGUUAAUUCUAUUUUGUUUUGUUCUGUUUUUGUUAUUUUGGCUUUUUAUUUGUUUGUUUUAAAUGCUUUCUUUGUUUACAUUUCAAAUGUUAUACUUUUUCCUGGUUUCCCCUUCAAAACCCCCUAUCCCAUCCCCUUUCCCCAUGCUCACCAACCCACCCACUCCUGCUUUCAUGUCCUGGCAUUCCCCUACACUGGGGUAUUGAGCCUUCUCAGUACCAAGGGCCUCUCCUCCCAUUGGUGUCCAACAAGGCCAUCCUCUGCUACAUAUACAGCAGGAGCCAUGGGUCUCUCCAUGUGUACUCUUUGUUUAGUGGUUUAGUCCCUGGGAGUUCUGGGGGGUAACAGUUUGUUCAUAUUGUUGUUCGUCCCAGGGGCUUUCUUUAUUAUCUCCUCCAUUGGAAACCUUGUGCUCAGUACAAUGGCUUGCUGAGAGCAUCCACCUCUAUAUUUGUCAGGCACUGGCAGAGCCCUCAGGAGACCACUAUAUCAGGCUCCUGUCAGCAAGCAAUUGUUGGCAUUAACAAUACUGUCUGGGUUUGGUGACUCCACAGGUGUGGAGUCACUGGAUUGUCUUUCCUUCAGUCUCUGCUCCACACAUUGUCUCUGUAUCUCCUUCCUUGGGUAUUUUGUUCCUUCUUCAAAGAAGGACCAAAGUAGACAUACUUUGGUCUUCCUUCUUGAGUUUCAUGUGGUCUGUGAAUUGUACCUGGGGUAUUUUAAGCUUCAGGGAACAUCUCAGAGAGGAGAGUUUAAAAACUCAAGAGCCAGAAGAGACAGAGAACAUCAGGCAAACAAGGUCAUGGCUUGUUCUGAAUGAAAAAAGCAAGAGUCAUAUGAACUCACAGAGACUUAAACAAUAAACACAGGGUCUUUACCAGAUUGUUUAUGUCUUAUACCUUUCAGCUUAGCUUUUUUAUGGAACUCUCAACUGUGUGUUCUCUGAUUCUUGCUUGUUCUUGGAAUGCUAUUCCUUCUGCUUGGUUGACUUGUUUAUCUACAUGUGAAGUGUUUUGCUUUGUCAUAAUUUUUUUUGUCAUGCUUGGUAUUUGUCUCUUAGAAUCCUGUUUUAUUUUUUCCAAGGGGAGACAGAUAGGGACUAGAUCCAUAGAGCAGGAGCAGUGUGAACGGGAAACUGUAAUCAAGACAUUGCAUGGGAAAGCACCUAUUUUCAAUAAUGAAAAAAAUUAAAUACAUAUGCUCACUAAAAGGUUUGGAGAAAUUUUUUAGUAACUUUCAUAGUAAAUUUGCUGCAUUAUUGUAGAAGGAAAGUGUGUUGAACAAAUAUUGUGUUUUCUGUAAUUUUUUAAGUAUAAAAUGUUGUGAUUAAGUUUCACAUUCUUUGGGCAAGUUUAAAAUUUUAAAAUUUAAAUUUAAUUUAAAUUAAAAAAAUAAAAGUCAGUUCAGCAGAGACUGAAGGAAAGGCCAUCCAGAGACUCCCCCAAUCUGGGGAUCCAUCCACAUGCAGACACCAAACCCAGACGAUAUUGCUGAUGCCAAAAAGUGCUUGCUGACAGAAGCCUGAUUCAACUGUCUCCUGAGAAGCUCUGCCAGAUCCUGACCAAUACAGAUGUAGAUGCUCACAGCCAACCAUCUGAUUGAUUAUAGGGACCCCAAUGGAAGAGUUAGGGGAAGGAGCUGAAGGGGCCUUACCUGGCAUCAAUGGGAGGGGCGGCCCUUGGUCCUGUGAAGGCUUGAUGUCUCAGUGUAGAGGAAUGCUAGGGAGGUGAAGUAAGAGUGGGUGAGUAGGUGAAGGAGCACCCUCAUAGAAGCAGGGUAAGGGAGGAUGGAAUUAGGGGGCUUGCAGGCGGAAACUGGGAAAGGGGAUAGCAUUUGAAAUGUAAAUAAAUAAAAUAUCCAACUUAAAAAUAAAAUAAAAUAAAAUAAAAUAAAAUAAAAUAAAAUAAAAUAAAAUAAAUAAAAUAAAGCAGUCAGUUCAGUCAUGGUCUUUAUACACCACCUUCAUUAACCAGUUACGUUUAUUAGUUAGUUUUCCCUCUAGCUCAAAUAUUAUUGUUCUGCUUGGGACAUGUUGAAGAUUAAUUAAACUUGAAUGUUUAAAGCAUAGACAAUAAAUUUCACAGCAAAUACUAGUUUU
rnacentral:lncRNA from 1 species